AGAAUCAACGCUGGCGGCGUGCCUAACACAUGCAAGUCGAACGAGAAAGUGGAGCAAUCCAUGAGUACAGUGGCGCACGGGUGAGUAACACGUGACUAACCUACCCUUGAGUUCGGAAUAACUUCGGGAAACCGAGGCUAAUACCGGAUAAUAUCUACGGAUCAAAGGAGCAAUUCGCUUAAGGAGGGGGUCGCGGCAGAUUAGUUAGUUGGCGGGGUAAUGGCCCACCAAGACGAUGAUCUGUAUCCGGCCUGAGAGGGCGCACGGACACACUGGAACUGAAACACGGUCCAGACUCCUACGGGAGGCAGCAGUGGGGAAUUUUGCGCAAUGGGGGAAACCCUGACGCAGCAACGCCGCGUGGAGGAUGAAAUCCCUUGGGAUGUAAACUCCUUUCGAUCGGGACGAUUAUGACGGUACCGGAAGAAGAAGCCCGGCUAACUUCGCGCCAGCAGCCGC
rnacentral:rRNA from 1 species